rnacentral:rRNA from 1 species
UACCCGCUGGAAUUAAGCAUAUCAAUAAGCGGAGGAAAAGAAACUAACAAGGAUUCCCCUAGUAACGGCGAGUGAAGAGGGAUCAGCCCAAAUUUGUAAUCUGGCUCUUUCAGAGUCUGAGUUGUAAUUUCAAGAACUGUUUUCUGCUCUGGACCAUGUACAAGUCUGUUGAAAUGCAGCAUCAUUGAGGGUGAGAAUCCUGUUUAUGAUAUGGACUACCAGUGCUCUAUGAUACAGUCUCUAAGAGUCGAGUUGUUUGGGAAUGCAGCUCAAAGUGGGUGGUAAAUUCCAUCUAAGGCUAAAUAUUGGUGAGAGACCGAUAGCAAACAAGUACCGUGAGGGAAAGAUGAAAAGAACUUUGGAAAGAGAGUUAACAGUACGUGAAAUUGUUAAAAGGGAAACAGUUGAAGUUAGACUUGUUGUUGUUGGUUCAGCUCUUUAAGGGUGUUUUCUGAUAAUUAACAAACCAACAUCAAUCUUUGGGUGUUGGAUAAGGGUCAUUGAAAUGUAGCAGUCUUGGCUGUGUUAUAGUCAUUGACUUGGAUACAAUGCCUAGGAUUGAGGAUUGCAGUAAGCCAUUUAUUUGGUGGGACAAUUUAUUGUUCUUCUUACUGAGGAUGUUGGUGCAAUAGCUUUAAUUGACCCGUCUUGAAACACGAA